AUGCCACCAUUCAAUCUGUAUUACUCUUGCUCUGUAGGGGAAGCCAAUCCCUGCAGAAGAAAACAUGAGGGAGCAAACAGUCAGCCCUGCAGAUCCUUUCCAUCUGGACAACUGACAGGAGAUAAGAGAAAGACGAUAGGACCAUCUCAGCCUGAAUGGUGACACUUGUAACUUCUCAUAUUCCACGGCAAGAACUAGUCUUUUGGUCCUACCUAGAUGCAGACUCUACCACAUACAUCAACAAGUAGGUUUCUAUUUUUCCCCAAUUCUGUGACCUUUUUUCAUUCCCUUUUUACUUCUUGAGUGGCUACUUCCAUAAAAAGGAGUAGAAAAGUUAUUAUGAAAAAUCUUACAUGUCCCUUUAAGAUGUAGCCUGAUGUGUGGAAAUAUACUAACAUACAUUUGAUGUAGAUAUCAUUAUCAUCUCAAUAACUUGUUCCCAUUAUCUGUGAGAAAAUGCAAAAUUUUGGCUGAGCAAUUAUAAUGUGGCAUUUAAAUCUUCUCAUCCACCAACCUGCAGUCUUAGAAAUCAGAUUUAAAGUAAAACGCUCAACAUGUUAUGCUAUUCUUAGCUCAGAUAGAAAAGGAUGCUGGUUAUAAUAGUGUAACAGUGCUGUUGCCAUGGUUAUCUACCUAUUAAUGAUUAAACUUGCUUCCUUAUGCUCAUUAGAAUGUAUAUUUUGAAAAUGGAGAGAAGCUUUCAGUUUAUUAGCAGAUUGUAAGGCCCAAAGUUCUCAAAAAACGUCUGGAUAUUAGAAAACAGCUCAGGCUCUGAUGUUCAACAGAUUCUUCUCUUGUAUCCAUGGUAUGUUUUUUUUCCCUCAUCAGCUACAGCAAUCAGUCUUCAAAGGGAUAAGCAUUUUACAUCAUAGAACCAUUAUAACUUCCUGGGAAGAGAGAAACUGGUGAGAGGUAGUAUGAAUUAUGCAAAAAUAUAAAUUUGCUUAAAAACAAUAAAGCAUCAGCAAAUUGAAUCUGUUUAUUCUUU
rnacentral:lncRNA from 1 species